UCUCUUUUCUUGUUGGCAUUUUCUGCAAAAAGAAGAAAAAAUGGCUUCUAUGUGUGCGAAUUCUACGACUUCCUAAAACACUUAUGUUUCAUUACAUUCUAAAAACACUCUUCUCCAGAGUGUCUUUAAUUUCAUGCCUUCAAUCACAAGACAUUCUCAUUGCCCAUAUACAAGCACAACUGUCCGAUGCUCAAAUAUUCGCCGGCCGCGGCCAAAUUACAAGCCAGGAAGAUUCUCUGACCCUAACUAUGUUGGUAUUUUCGAUACAACUCUUCGCGACAGAGAGUAGUCCCCUGGGGCCGCCAUGACUAGUAAAGAAAAACUGGACAUUGCACGUCAGCUGGCUAAGCUUGGUGUUGAUGUUAUUGAGGCUGGUUUUUCAGCUGCCUCUGGCGCUGAUUUUGAGCUUAUAAAGUUGGUUGCACAGGAAGUUGGUAACUGCGUAGACGCGGAGGGGUAUGAGCCGGUGAUUUGUGCUUAGCAAGGUCUAUGAAGAAGGAUAUUGAUAGAGCUUGGGAAGCUAUAAAGUAUGCCAAGAAACCAAUGCUUAACACGUUUAUUGCGACGAGUGAUAUACACAUGAAGUAUAAAUUGAAGAUGAGUAGAGAAGAAGUUGUUGAGAGAGCUAGAAGUAUGGUGACAUAUGCGAGGAGUUUGGGAUGCGAGGAUGUUCGGUUUGGCAUUGAAGAUGCUACAAGAUCCAGGUGUUCCAGAGGCUGAGUGAGAGCUUUCCAGUCGAUCGGCAUUAUCUAGGAGUAUCGAGGUAGCUGCAUGGCGUCCGCAGCCCUGAUUUCUCCCUUCCUUUCUAUUGUAUUCCGCAUUCCUAGACUGUUUGUGUAGUAGGCUGUUGAACUUGUAUUAGAGGCUCGAGACUUGUGACACCGGAUCGGUGUGGGCUAUGUAGUAGUAUUAUCUUUUGACUUCCGCAUAUUUAAC